AUUCGCCCUUAUUCUUGAGCGGCAGAGGAGCUGUAAAGAAAAAUACUGGAGGAUCAUAGUAUAAGACAGGAAGACAAAACCAUACAAUUGGGAAUUAGAACGCUAGAAUGGACAUGAAUCUUCUUAUGAUGGUAUAAAGAGGACCUGAGCCCUAGGACCAUGCCCCAGGACUACCUGACAUGAUAACUCCUUGCUGUCCCCAGUCCACCCAUACUCCUGUUGCCAUAAUGGGGUGAAGCUACCCAUACUCCUGUUGCCAUAAUGGGGUGAAGCUACCCAUACUCCUGUUGCCAUAUUGAGCUGCAGCUACCCAUACUCCUGUUGCCAUAUUGAGCUGUAGCUACCCAUACUCCUGUCGCCAUAUUGGGGUGAAGCUACCCAUACUCCUGUUGCCAUAUUGGGGUGAAGCUACCCAUACUCCUGUUGCCAUAUUAGGGUGAAGCUACCCAUACUCCUGUUGCCAUAUUGAGCUGCAGCUACCCAUACUCCUGUUGCCAUAUUAGGGUGAAGCUACCCUUACUGCUGUUGCCAUAUUGGGCUGCAGCUACCCAUACUCCUGUUGCCAUAUUAGGGUGAAGCUACCCUUACUCCUGUUGCUAUAUUAGGGUGAAGCUACCCAUACUCCUGUUGCCAUAUUAGGGUGAAGCUACCCUUACUCAUGUUGCCAUAUUGGGCUGCAGCUACCCAUAUUUGCAUGGGUAGCUGCAAUAAAACUCACAGGGCUGAGCUGUUUUAUACUGGAUUGCAUGGUUUAGUCCUGCUCUAUGCAACUGUAGGCCUAAACUUGUCAGCUAUUGUGUUUAUUGAUUAAUUGCAGUUAAUCAUUUUGGAUGGAAAAAGUCUAGGUAACAAAUGGGCUAUAAAUACACAAUGUUACCACUGUUUACCCUGGCUAGAGGGACAGGGUGCAUAGAAGGCUAGGCUAUUCAGUUGCUGUUGUUAGUAGCCUACAGUUGAUCAGACUGAAAAAAUAUUAUAUUUUUCAUACAAUAAAACAUGUCAGAUUGCUAAUGUUUAGGUGUAGGGUGGUACAUUUAUGGAAUAGUUUUUGCUUGUGUCUGUCAGGAGUGAUGUGUUAUCACACUUGCUUAACAAAUUCCAGAGGAAAGCAGAGAGCGCGCCUUGAGCUUUGUGCUUGUGCCCAUCUUGCACGACCUACGAUUUCCAUUAAUCUGAUUGGUCAAGACAUGCAAAGAGCCUGCAACAGCACUUUGAUGUAAGGGACAGAGAAUUUGAGUUGACAAAUCGGUCUAAAGAACAACCCUAUGCCUGUCUCUUUAAUGCAUCAAUAUAUUUUAUAAAACUAAAUCAAACUGAUAGAAAAGUGCUGUUGCAAAUCCCUUGCAAAAAAAGAUUGCCGUUUUGAAACUGCAGUAAAAGUGCAGUAACUUCAUUCAACUGUGGUAUUUUGGACGCAGUAUUUGCAGAAUAACUGCAGUUAUACUGCACUCUGACUGCAAGGGAUGCCGCCUUGUACCAUCUUUUCCUGGCG